rnacentral:sRNA from 20 species
GCAGGUUUGAUGUACAGACCACAGAGCAGUCGAAUAGAGCAGUCCUUCUAAGGUUAUCCAAAGAUACCCCCGUAGUGAACUUUCCCUUUAUCGCUUUAAAUCUGUAGUCCAGACCCCUACGCCGCAAGGCUCACUUAUUUUUUUAAAGGUAAUUCACUAUGUCCGGUAAAAUGACUGGUAUCGUAAAAUGGUUCAACGCUGACAAAGGCUUCGGCUUCAUCACUCCUGACGAUGGCUCUAAAGACGUGUUCGUACACUUCUCUGCUAUCCAGAACGAUGGCUACAAAUCCCUGGACGAAGGUCAGAAAGUAUCCUUCACCAUCGAAAGCGGCGCUAAAGGCCCGGCAGCUGGCAACGUAACUUCUCUGUAAGUUCAAGCCGCUAAGAAUCGAGAAUCCCUGCCUGAUGGCGGGGAUUUUUUU